GACGAACGCUGGCGGCGUGCUUAACACAUGCAAGUCGAACGGAAAGGCCCUGCUUUUGUGGGGUGCUCGAGUGGCGAACGGGUGAGUAACACGUGAGUAACCUGCCCUUGACUUUGGGAUAACUUCAGGAAACUGGGGCUAAUACCGGAUAGGAGCUCCUGCUGCAUGGUGGGGGUUGGAAAGUUUCGGCGGUUGGGGAUGGACUCGCGGCUUAUCAGCUUGUUGGUGGGGUAGUGGCUUACCAAGGCUUUGACGGGUAGCCGGCCUGAGAGGGUGACCGGCCACAUUGGGACUGAGAUACGGCCCAGACUCCUACGGGAGGCAGCAGUGGGGAAUAUUGCACAAUGGGCGGAAGCCUGAUGCAGCAACGCAGCGUGCGGGAUGACGGCCUUCGGGUUGUAAACCGCUUUCGCAUGUGACGAAGCGUGAGUGACGGUAAUGGGUAAAGAAGCACCGGCUAACUACGUG
rnacentral:rRNA from 1 species